GGGGCGUGGCCUGAGGGGCGAGAGCCCCCAAGGCUGUGGGUAUGAGGCCGGGGCCCUGCACCGGAAGGGAGGGCGGAAGCCACGGGACGUGGAGCAGAUGGUGAGGAUAGUGGGGAGGUAGCAGCAGAGGAUGACCCGAGGCAAAAGUGCAAGUGAAGAAAAGUCGCCUUGCCGGGCAGAGGUACGGGACCAAGGCGCCUCCUCUGGGCUGAGGAGUUAGAGGGAAGAAAAUGGCGCCCUGUCAUGAGGGCGCGAGGUCCGAGUUGAGGGGAGAAGACUGAGGGACACAGAAGUGGCCGAAGUGAGGGCGCUGAGGUCAGCCUGAGCUGAGAGGGCCGGCAGAUCACGCCGCAGCCGAAGUGAACGAACUCGAGUGAGCUCUUCUCUUUUUCAGGAAAUUACUCCAGGAUUUGAAUCAUCACAAGAGAUUCACCAGAGGAUUUUAUACACUUGGGCUGUGGCAGCAGACUAAUUACAUCACAGCACUAGGAUAUCACAUUGUAUUUGGUCAUCAUGACUCCUUAGUCUCCAAUCUGUGCCAGUUUUUUUGGUCUUGUCUUUCAUGGCCUUGGGGAUUUUUGAAGAAUAAUGGCCAGGUAUUUUGUAGGAUGCCCCUUAACUUAGAUUUGUCUGAUAUUGGGAUUUAUCAUGAUUAGAUUGGGAAUAUGGGUUUGGGGGAAGAAUACUGCAGAGGUGAACUGCCCUUUCCAUUGCAUCAUAUGAGGGGUGCAUGAUAUCCACGUGACUAUGAGUGCUGAUGUUAACCUUGAUCACUUGGUUAAGGUGGUGUCUGAAAGGUUUCCUAGUUACUCUUUUUCCAUACUUUAUUCUUUAGAAGCAAGACACUAAGUACAGCCCAAAAUCAAGGAGUGGAGAAUUUAUUUUAAAACUGCAUUCUACCAAUCCUUAUUUGAUACUCCCCCACCCCAC
rnacentral:lncRNA from 1 species